GGGACGCUCACCAUGGAACCUAGCUGAGAGGAAGCCCAGGCAACGUGGUGAUGCCACACAUGGGUAUUCUGCUCAACAGCCCCAGCUAAGGUCCCAGCCAACAGCCAGCUUUGACUACCAGACAUGUGAAUGAAUGAACCUUCAGAUAACUCCAGCCCCACCUUUGAGUCUUUCAGCUGAGCCUCAGACACUAUGAAGCAGACUAGCUGUCCUCAAAAUGCCGUGUGCGAAUUCCUGACCUACAGGAACCAUGAAAAUAAAUGCAGCAGCUGUGAUGCAAUUCCAGUCCCAGGCCUUAAGAAGAUCUGGCAGCUUCUGCUUUUGCUCCCUGGGGGAAGCCAGCCCGCUGUGAGCAGUCCAACUAUCCUGAGAGAUCACCUGGAGAGGCCAAGCAGAGGAGAACUGAGGAACCCAGCCAACACCAAGGACUGAAGCCUAGAUAUAUGACCCCACUUGAAUUGUUCCAACCAGACCUCAGCUUUUUGAGCCAUUCCAGCUGAGGCCCCAGACAUCACAGAACAGAGAUGAGCUAUUCCCACCAUGCUCUGAUCAAGUUACUGACCCACAAAGCCAUGUUCCAAUGAAAUGCUGUUUUAAGCCACUAAGUUGUGGGAUAGUUUGUUGCACAGCAAAAGAUACCUGAAACAGGAGAUAUUCACCACGAAAAUGACAAUUCCUUUCAUCAUUCUCAGUUUUUAUUCUCCUUAAAAUAUGCCUGUGGGAAGAAAACAACUCUUAAUACAAG
rnacentral:lncRNA from 1 species